rnacentral:lncRNA from 1 species
GUGAAUUUCACCUCAAUUUUUUGCAACAGAGACUCCUUCAGGGUGAGCAAAGGCUUGGAAACCUGUAUGCAGUUAAAGAAAAGGAAAGAAAGAGAUAAUCAGUGCAUGCAGUUGUCAGCUGGCUGGGACCUGAGGAGAGUCACUUGUGGAGGCAACUGGUCUUUAUCCCUAUUGUCCGGUACAAGGCAGGCAUUAAUCCUGUGAUCCUUAUCUGAAGCUCAGGCUAAAUAGGGAAGUAGAAUGGGAAUGUGAUAAAAAGUACCACCUCUGCAUCCUUCAAGUCCUUGAUGGUGGUACUAAUCUCUGCAAGCUCUACAAGAAUGCAGUAUUGUUUUUGGUUUGCUGUUUUUCUAGAUAGAGGCAGGUAAGUGGCUUCCACUUUAUAGCGUAAUUGCCCUCACUCUUCAGGUCAGGAAACCAGUGUAGGGAUUCUGCUAAUUGUUGAGUAUGUCUAUUCCAAUUAUUCUGCAGCUACAGAGAUAACGAGACUGGACCCACUGCAAGACAGACCUAAACUAAAACUCCAUUGAUCACCUAACCUCCCUAAGCCCCUACUCUCACUUGUGAACCAGAGUGAUGCAUUGGUUUUCCUGGGGUACCCUGAGUCUGAGUUCAGAACCAAUGUCCAGUAAUUCCCCCAAAGUCUGAUUAUUCCCUUUUCCCCAAUGCACAGUCAGUCAACUUGGUAAAGUGCUAUAGGUCCCUUUGGGGAAGGCUGAGAGAAAAAUGAACAGUAUACAAUUUUGGUAAUGCAGUGGGGACACAGCCUCCUCAUUAUUUAAGGAGAUAUGGGUCUGCAAACUGGCCCAAGUCUUGGAAUUGAUUCAGGAGCUGUGACUCCAUUUUUUUGAUUCGAGUUAGACUUUUAUUCACUUGAUUCUUCUUUUUAUACAGAACAGAUAAGAAUUUAGUAGGCUUUCCAUCUCUUUUAUUUCUAUGGAUACUAUGACCAGCUAGCUAAUGCCAUAAGUCUCUGUAAAUCAGACUUUCUAACUACAGUUUUGACUUUACUGUCCAUUACAGUAACCAUGUUCACCUUGUCUUUGGUGAUUAAAUGCUGCCACUUGGCCCCUGCCAUCCUGGGAUCCAGUUACUCUCCUUAUACUUAAGAAUCCCAUUCAGUGGCAGCAGUUCCCACUGUAAUUUCUGACCUAUACAGAAGAGCAACCACAGAGCUCUUUAAAAAUAUUGGAACUCCCUCACAAAUUUAUUUCUCGUGGUCAUAACAGAAAGUGUGUCCUGAGCUAGAUGUGGUAGCUCACACCUAUAAUCCCAGCACCUUGGGUGGCCAAGGUAGGAGAAUCGCUUGAGCUCAGGAGUUUGAGGCCUGCUUGGGCAACGUAGCAAGACCUUGCCUCUAUAAAAAUUUUUAAAAUUAGCCAGGUAUGAUGGUGCAUAUAGUCCCAGCUACUCAGGAGGCUGAGGCAGGAGGGUCCCUUGAGCCCAGGAGUUUGAGGGUACAGUGUGCUAUGGUCACACCACUGCACUCCAGCCUGGGCAAUAGAGUGAGCCCUGACUCUAAAAAAUAAUAAUAAAUAGAAAAAGAAAGCAUGUCCUCUUGUUAAAGAUUUUUCAAUGACACUUGUUCAAGGAUGGUAAGGCUGACUUUUUCAAGAUCAUCAGAAUAGAUACAGGGACCAAUGCAAUAGCAUUUUACAGCGAGGGAGAGAGAUUGGGCUCAACUCUGAAUACAGUUUGGGUAAGUGAGAAUUUAUUGCCAAGGAGUAGGGUGGGGGUCAGUGGAUUGAAAAUUACUAAGAGGAAACUUCAAGAGUAAGGAAAGAUUCUGGCUUAACUGACCUAACAGGAUUCUUGCUGAAAACAGGCUGGGGUGUUGAGACACUACCUGGGAGAUGGUGGAGGAUGAAGCCCUGAUCAGAUAUGGAGGAUGAUCAGAUAUUGAGCAUGGAGGUUCUUUUUUUUUUAUGCUUUAAGUUCUAGGGUACAUGUGCACAACGUGCAGGUUUGUUACAUACGUAUACAUGUGCCAUGUUGGUGUGCUGCACCCAUCAACUCGUCAUUUACAUUAGGUAUUUCUCCUAAUGCUAUCCUUCCCCCCUCUUCCCAUCCCACAACAGGCCCCAGUGUGUGAUGUUCC